rnacentral:lncRNA from 1 species
GGCCGUACAGCUGGCCACAGGAGAGGGUCGGCGUUGGAAACGGACAGGAUCUACUGGGGUUUGCGCCUGCCAUGUGUUUGGCUGUUCAGGGAUUGCGGGUGUACAGGACUUGGAUUCUGAAUGGAGCCCACACAGGCUUCUGGUUCCAAAAAUCCGGUUCUGUUGACUGCUGGACCAGUCAUGGUUUAGAAUAACGGCUGUUUAGAUGUUGUAUAACGGUUUCAGUGGC